CAACACCAACGACGCAAACGACUGAAGUGAUGAAAACAUCAACUUUAAACACAACAGAACAAACAGUUUGUGCAGAUUGUUCUGCUCUGAGCUACAUAAUGUUGGUGAUGCGUGUGGCUGAACUCGUCCUCAUCACUGUUGUUACUGUUCUUCUCUUCAGAGCUCGAGCAGGGAACCAGAGACCACCUGAUGACCACACUGUGAGUUGAUGUAUAAAAUCAACUAAUAACGUCCAUGUUACUGUAAUGCAGGACUGUGAAUGUCUCACUGUUUGUGUUU